GACGAACGCUGGCGGCGUGCUUAACACAUGCAAGUCGAACGGAAAGGCCUCUUUCGGGGGGUACUCGAGUGGCGAACGGGUGAGUAACACGUGAGUAACCUGCCCUUGACUUUGGGAUAACUUCAGGAAACUGGGGCUAAUACCGGAUAGGAGCUCCUGCUGCAUGGUGGGGGUUGGAAAGUUUCGGCGGUUGGGGAUGGACUCGCGGCUUAUCAGCUUGUUGGUGGGGUAGUGGCUUACCAAGGCUUUGACGGGUAGCCGGCCUGAGAGGGUGACCGGCCACAUUGGGACUGAGAUACGGCCCAGACUCCUACGGGAGGCAGCAGUGGGGAAUAUUGCACAAUGGGUGGAAGCCUGAUGCAGCAACGCCGUGUGCGGGAUGACGGCCUUCGGGUUGUAAACCGCUUUCGCUCAUGACGAAGCUUUGUGUGACGGUAGUGGGUAAAAAAGCACCGGCUAACUACGUG
rnacentral:rRNA from 1 species